rnacentral:lncRNA from 1 species
CCGGUGCUGGUCCUGCCAACAAGCGGACCCGAGCCAAUAAUGGGGGACCGAUGCCACCUGCCAAGGCUGGUCGUCUCACAAACAAUGCCUGUGUCUCCUCCUUCCCUGCUGGUCCUGCCUAUGUACGAUCGCCGUCAGCCCACACCACCUACCCAGCAGCAGCUCUGUAUCCUUAUGAUAGGCCAUCAGGACAUGGAAUCUAUGGCAGCAGGAGCCCACCAGCUCUCAGGGAACCCUAUGGAUACCCAACCGAAGAAGCAGCCCCUGUUGCACUUGGUGCCUCGUACCCCACACCACCUAUGACCUAUCCAGCCUAUGGAGCUUACCACAACGGUUUGGGAGGUUACAACAAUGGACUGGCGCCAGGGUAUCAGCAGGCUUACUACAGGUAAAAUAGGUACCAAGACUCAGACAAGGUUGACCUGUGGUCGGAUGAUAUAGUUACU